rnacentral:SRP_RNA from 1 species
GCUGGGCUCAAUAACAUGGGCUUGUAACCCAAGUGGGGGCAUUAGUGUGGUGGAAUGUUGGGCUGGUCAUCCAAAUGGUUGGGCUUAUAUCUGGCCUGCCCUAUCGAAGUACAGAGUUGGGCCUUGUGGUCCAAUCGAAGGAGUGGGCUGCUAUUUCCUAAAGCGGAACGGACUGCGUGAGGUUGGUUUCACAGAGCAACGAAUAGUUCCUGCUCUAAGCGUUGGAAGGAUAGCACGUCGAUGCCUUCCGAGUCCCAGAAUCGUCAGAUGGGCUGCUCCACUU